rnacentral:lncRNA from 1 species
AACACACAAGUUACGUAAUUAAUACGAUGCAAACUAACUUAAAAUACGAAACAACACACAAAUACGAAACAAAUCAUCUUUAAUCCUGAAACAUUCCAAAUUUUGUUGGGAUUUUGAGAAUUGUUGGGAUAAUUAGAAGAAUUGUUGGGAUCCAUUUCACUAAAAAAAAGAUUAAAACUUCAAAAGAAAGACUAAUUAGAAAGUUAAUAAUAGAUUAAGAUAAUGAAAAAUUUGGUUUUUUUUUUUGUGUCCAAAUGAAAUGAACCAAGUCUCUAUUUGUAGAGAAAAAAAAAUCACGAAUUUUGGUAUAAAAAUUAAAAAAUUAAUUUUCAAUGAAAUAAUUGAGUUCAAAGUUUUGAUA